rnacentral:rRNA from 1 species
CAUUCAGCGAAGCCACCGGGUGACCGGUGGUGGAGGGUGGGGGAGUGAGAAUGCAGGCAUGAGUAGCGACAAGGCAAGUGAGAACCUUGCCCGCCGAAAGACCAAGGGUUCCUGGGCCAGGCCAGUCCGCCCAGGGUGAGUCGGGACCUAAGGCGAGGCCGACAGGCGUAGUCGAUGGACAACGGGUUGAUAUUCCCGUACCCGUGUGUGGGCGCCCGUGACGAAUCAGCGGUACUAACCACCCAAAACCGGAUCGAUCACUCCCCUUCGGGGGUGUGGAGUUCUGGGGCUGCGUGGGAACUUCGCUGGUAGUAGUCAAGCGAAGGGGUGACGCAGGAAGGUAGCCGUACCAGUCAGUGGUAACACUGGGGCAAGCCGGUAGGGAGAGCGAUAGGCAAAUCCGUCGCUCACUAAUCCUGAGAGGUGACGCAUAGCCGGUUGAGGCGAAUUCGGUGAUCCUCUGCUGCCAAGAAAAGCCUCUAGCGAGCACACACACGGCCCGUACCCCAAACCGACACAGGUGGUCAGGUAGAGCAUACCAAGGCGUACGAGAUAACUAUGGUUAAGGAACUCGGCAAAAUGCCCCCGUAACUUCGGGAGAAGGGGGACCGGAAUAUCGUGAACACCCUUGCGGUGGGAGCGGGAUCCGGUCGCAGAAACCAGUGAGGAGCGACUGUUUACUAAAAACACAGGUCCGUGCGAAGUCGCAAGACGAUGUAUACGGACUGACGCCUGCCCGGUGCUGGAAGGUUAAGAGGACCCGUUAACCCGCAAGGGUGAAGCGGAGAAUUUAAGCCCCAGUAAACGGCGGUGGUAACUAUAACCAUCCUAAGGUAGCGAAAUUCCUUGUCGGGUAAGUUCCGACCUGCACGAAUGGCGUAACGACUUCUCAACUGUCUCAACCAUAGACUCGGCGAAAUUGCACUACGAGUAAAGAUGCUCGUUACGCGCGGCAGGACGAAAAGACCCCGGGACCUUCACUACAACUUGGUAUUGAUGUUCGGUACGGUUUGUGUAGGAUAGGUGGGAGACUGUGAAACCUCGACGCCAGUUGGGGCGGAGUCGUUGUUGAAAUACCACUCUGAUCGUAUUGGGCAUCUAACCUCGAACCCUGAAUCGGGUUUAGGGACAGUGCCUGGCGGGUAGUUUAACUGGGGCGGUUGCCUCCUAAAAUGUAACGGAGGCGCCCAAAGGUUCCCUCAACCUGGACGGCAAUCAGGUGGCGAGUGUAAAUGCACAAGGGAGCUUGACUGCGAGACUUACAAGUCAAGCAGGGACGAAAGUCGGGAUUAGUGAUCCGGCACCCCCGAGUGGAAGGGGUGUCGCUCAACGGAUAAAAGGUACCCCGGGGAUAACAGGCUGAUCUUCCCCAAGAGUCCAUAUCGACGGGAUGGUUUGGCACCUCGAUGUCGGCUCGUCGCAUCCUGGGGCUGGAGCAGGUCCCAAGGGUUGGGCUGUUCGCCCAUUAAAGCGGCACGCGAGCUGGGUUUAGAACGUCGUGAGACAGUUCGGUCUCUAUCCGCCGCGCGCGUCAGAAACUUGAGGAAACCUGUCCCUAGUACGAGAGGACCGGGACGGACGAACCUCUGGUGCACCAGUUGUCCCGCCAGGGGCACCGCUGGAUAGCCACGUUCGGUCAGGAUAACCGCUGAAAGCAUCUAAGCGGGAAACCUUCUCCAAGAUCAGGUUUCUCACCCACUUGGUGGGAUAAGGCCCCCCGCAGAACACGGGUUCAAUAGGUCAGACCUGGAAGCUCAGUAAUGGGUGUAGGGAACUGGUGCUAACCGGCCGAAAACUUACAACACCC